rnacentral:rRNA from 1 species
GACGAACGUUGGCGGCAUGCUUAAUACAUGCAAGUCAACUGAAGCAGUGGUAGCAAUAUCGCUGUGGAGGUGGCGCACGGGUGAGUAACACGUAGGUAAUCUGCCUUCAGGUCUGGCAUAACUCCGGGGAACCGGGGCUAAUAGCAGAUGAUGCAGCGGCUCGACAUCGAGACAGUUGUUAAAGCUAUGGCGCCUGAAGAUGAGCCUGCGUCUGAUUAGCUAGUUGGCGGGGUAACGGCCCACCAAGGCAACGAUCAGUAGCUGGUCUGAGAGGAUGAUCAGCCACACUGGAACUGAGACACGGUCCAGACUCCUACGGGAGGCAGCAGUAAGGAAUAUUGCUCAAUGGGAGAAAUCCUGAAGCAGCAACGCCGCGUGAGGGACGAAGGGCUUUUGCUUGUAAACCUCUGUAGUGAGAGAAAAAAAUCCCAAUCUUUGGGACAUGAUGGUAUCUCAAAAGUAAGCCCCGGCUAACUACGUG